rnacentral:rRNA from 1 species
UACGUAGGGCGCAAGCGUUGUCCGGAAUUAUUGGGCGUAAAGAGCUCGUAGGCGGCUUGUCACGUCGGAUGUGAAAGCCCGAGGCUUAACCUCGGGUCUGCAUUCGAUACGGGCUAGCUAGAGUGUGGUAGGGGAGAUCGGAAUUCCUGGUGUAGCGGUGAAAUGCGCAGAUAUCAGGAGGAACACCGGUGGCGAAGGCGGAUCUCUGGGCCUUACCUGACGCUCAGGCGCGAAAGCUAGGGGAGCGAACAGG